UUAAGGCAGCCAGCCCGCCGACGGCGCAGAGGUAGCGGCUUCACCUUUAAGGCGGCGCGGGGACUGCUGGGAAGGCCGGCGGGAUGGAGACAGUGAGAGCGUCUCCCGGCUGCCGGUCCGGGUGAAGCGGGGCGGGAGCCAGAGUUGAAGCCGGGGCAGAUCAAAAAGCGCAGGCCCGGCGGCCGCCUGCCUGCCCCUCUUCUUCACAGGUGGCACGACCAUGGCUACGAUGGUGCUUCCGAGGGAGGAGAAACACACCCAGGAUGAGAUCGUGCUGGGCACCAAGGCUGUCAUCCAGGGACUAGAGACCCUGCGCGGGGAGCAUCGUGCCUUGUUAGCUCCCCUGACCUCGCAUGAGGCCAGUGAGGCCGAGCCUGGUUCCCAGGAGCGGUGCCUCCUGCUUCGACGUUCCCUGGAGGCCAUAGAGCUGGGACUAGGGGAGGCCCAGGUGAUCCUGGCACUGUCGAGCCAUCUGGGUGCUGUGGAGUCGGAGAAGCAGAAGUUACGGGCGCAGGUGCGGCGCCUGGUACAGGAGAAUCAGUGGCUCCGUGAGGAGCUGGCAGGGACACAGCAGAAGCUGCAGCACAGCGAGCAGGCAGUAGCCCAGCUGGAAGAGGAGAAGCAGCACCUGCUGUUCAUGAGCCAGAUCCGCAAGCUGGACGAGGACACCUCCCCUAAUGAAGAGAAAGGAGAUGUCCCCAAAGAUUCUCUAGAUGACCUGUUCCCCAAUGAGGAUGAGCAGAACCCAGCCCCCAGCCCUGGAGGAGGGGACGUGGCUGCCCAGCAUGGGGGCUAUGAAAUCCCUGCACGACUUCGAACCCUGCACAACCUGGUGAUCCAGUAUGCCUCUCAGGGCCGCUAUGAAGUGGCUGUGCCACUCUGCAAGCAGGCACUGGAGGACUUAGAGAAGACAUCGGGCCAUGACCACCCUGACGUGGCCACCAUGCUGAACAUCCUGGCACUGGUCUAUCGGGACCAGAAUAAGUACAAGGAGGCUGCCCACCUGCUCAAUGAUGCCCUGGCCAUCCGGGAGAAGACACUGGGCAAGGACCACCCAGCUGUAGCUGCAACACUAAACAAUCUGGCAGUUCUCUACGGCAAGCGGGGCAAGUACAAGGAGGCUGAGCCACUGUGCAAGCGGGCACUGGAGAUCCGGGAAAAGGUCCUGGGCAAGUUUCACCCAGAUGUAGCCAAGCAGCUCAGCAACCUGGCCUUGCUGUGCCAGAAUCAGGGCAAAGCGGAGGAGGUGGAAUACUACUACCGGCGGGCGCUGGAGAUCUAUGCCACGCGGCUUGGGCCUGAUGACCCCAAUGUGGCCAAAACCAAGAAUAACCUGGCUUCCUGCUACCUGAAACAGGGCAAAUACCAGGACGCUGAGACCUUGUACAAGGAGAUCCUUACCAGGGCUCACGAGAAGGAGUUUGGUUCUGUCAAUGGAGAUAACAAACCUAUCUGGAUGCAUGCAGAAGAACGAGAAGAGAGCAAGGAUAAGCGCCGGGACAGCGCCCCCUAUGGGGAAUAUGGCAGCUGGUACAAGGCUUGUAAGGUUGACAGCCCCACAGUUAACACCACCCUGCGCAGCCUGGGUGCCCUGUACCGACGCCAGGGCAAGCUAGAAGCUGCACACACACUGGAGGACUGUGCCAGCCGCAGCCGAAAGCAGGGCCUGGACCCUGCGAGCCAGACCAAGGUGGUAGAGCUGCUGAAAGAUGGCAGUGGUGGGCGGGGAGGCUGCCGUGCCAUUCGAGACACGACUGGAGGUGCUGGGCCUCGGUCUGAGUCUGACCUGGAAGAGGCAGGACCUGCAGCUGAGUGGAGUGGAGAUGGCAGUGGCUCCUUGCGGCGCAGUGGCUCUUUUGGGAAGCUCCGGGAUGCUCUGAGGCGCAGCAGUGAGAUGCUGGUAAAGAAGCUGCAGGGGGGCAGCCCGCAGGAGCCCCCUAACUCCAGGAUGAAGCGAGCCAGUUCCCUCAACUUCCUCAACAAGAGCGUGGAAGAGCCAGUCCAGCCCAGCUUCUCCUGGAGCAUGUCACUUCAUCCAGCAACAAUUCUGUCCCCAUCCCAGUCCUGCUUUCAGCUUGACAGCAGAGGGCACAGAUGAAAAGGGGGAUGCAGACCCCCCUUCUGCAGUGGACCUGUGAACCAUCAGUGCCAACACAGUAAUGGGCAACAACCUGGAGGCACAGGUCUUUGUGACAGCCGCACACUCAGCUCCAGCUCCAUGGACCUCUCCAGACGAAGCUCCCUUGUGGGCUAAUCCUGAAGGGGCAGCCAGUCACCAGAGCCUCCAUCCAGCACAUCCUCUUCCCCCAGCCCUGCGCAUGGACCUGCUGCUUGUCCUGCCUGUCUUUCCCACAGACCCCUAUUUUUUCUGUUCAAUCUCAGGGUAACUUCCUCCCAUUUCAUCUCAGCCUGAGCCCUGGAGGCUGGGCCUGCCCGCUCCUGCUCUACCCUGUAUUUAUUCCUUCUAGCAGGGCCCCUCUUCCCUAGGUUCCAGCCAGCUGGAGGGGCUGGCCACAGCCUCCAAGAGGAGACAGCCACCCACCCUGCCCAGACUCCAGAGCCAAGAACACUAAGCACCUGCUAGCCCCACCACUACCACUACCCUCCCCCAUCCGGCCGUUGCUUCUGUAUAUAAAGAAAUAAGUUAUUGGCCGCGCCUCUCCCCUGAGUCCAAGGCACUCCUUGGGCCUCCCCUCGCCCCGCCCUUUUCCAGUGGUACCGCCCAGGCCUUAAUCACCCACAUUCCUCGCGGUGGUACCUCCCAGGCUCCCAGUUCUCCGGAGUAGCGCCUCCCGAAAUGGUUACUUGGACAGUUUUUGUCCUCCUGGCCUUCCAGGGAUGUGUCCCACCUCACCUUGCCCCUUGCCCCGGGACAGCAGGCCGAGUUGCUGUCACCCAGAGCCGGGCGCUGCCCUGCAUCCCGGCCUUAUGCACUGCCCCUCCCGCCCGGCCCCGCCCAGGCACGGCCUGACCCCACCCCGGGCGCCGCCCCUGGAGCCAUCCUGCCACGCUGCCUCCCAGUCCCGCAGCUUCUCGGGGGGGCUAGUCACGGUCCUCCGUGGCAGGGGAAACUGCCCCACCUGUGGUUCGAAAGCGGUCGCUCUUUAUUUUCAGAUGUUGCUGUAGAAAUAAAGACGGUUUGAAUCUGA